AUAGACGAGCGUCAGCAACGCUUAUUUAAGGACAAUGUAAUGCAUUUACAUUGUCCUUAAAUAAGCGUUGCUCACGCUCGUCGUAU